AGUGAACGCUGGCGGUAGGCCUAACGCAUGCAAGUCGAACGGCAGCACAGGAGAGCUUGCUCUCUGGGUGGCGAGUGGCGGACGGGUGAGGAAUACAUCGGAAUCUACUUUUUCGUGGGGGAUAACGUAGGGAAACUUACGCUAAUACCGCAUACGACCUACGGGUGAAAGCAGGGGACCUUCGGGCCUUGCGCGAUUGAAUGAGCCGAUGUCGGAUUAGCUAGUUGGCGGGGUAAAGGCCCACCAAGGCGACGAUCCGUAGCUGGUCUGAGGGGAUGAUCAGCCACACUGGAACUGAGACACGGUCCAGACUCCUACGGGAGGCAGCAGUGGGGAAUAUUGGACAAUGGGCGCAAGCCUGAUCCAGCUAUACCGCGUGGGUGAAGAAGGCCUUCGGGUUGUAAAGCCCUUUUGUUGGGAAAGAAAUCCAGCCGGCUAAUACCUGGUUGGGAUGACGGUACCCAAAGAAUAAGCACCGGCUAACUUCGUGCCAGCAGCCGCCGUAA
rnacentral:rRNA from 1 species